CCUACGGGUGGCAGCAGUGGGGAAUAUUGGACAAUGGGGGGAACCCUGAUCCAGCCAUGCCGCGUGUGUGAAGAAGGCCCUCGGGUUGUAAAGCACUUUCAGUGAGGAAGAACGCCUGGUGGUGAAUACCCAUCAGGAAAGACAUCACUCACAGAAGAAGCACCGGCUAACUCCGUGCCAGCAGCCGCGGUAAUACGGAGGGUGCGAGCGUUAAUCGGAAUUACUGGGCGUAAAGCGCGCGUAGGUGGCUUGAUAAGCCGGUUGUGAAAGCCCCGGGCUCAACCUGGGAACGGCAUCCGGAACUGUCAAGCUAGAGUGCAGGAGAGGAAGGUAGAAUUCCCGGUGUAGCGGUGAAAUGCGUAGAGAUCGGGAGGAAUACCAGUGGCGAAGGCGGCCUUCUGGACUGACACUGACACUGAGGUGCGAAAGCGUGGGUAGCAAACAGGAUUAGAGACCCGUGUAGUC
rnacentral:rRNA from 1 species